rnacentral:rRNA from 1 species
UACGAAGGGGGCGAGCGUUGUUCGGAUUUACUGGGCGUAAAGGGCGCGUAGGCGGCGCCGCAAGUCGAGUGUGAAAUCCCGAGGCUCAACCUCGGGCCUGCAGUGGGUACGGGCAGACUAGAGUGCGGUAGGGGAGAUUGGAAUUCCUGGUGUAGCGGUGGAAUGCGCAGAUAUCAGGAGGAACACCGAUGGCGAAGGCAGAUCUCUGGGCCGUAACUGACGCUGAGGAGCGAAAGCGUGGGGAGCGAACAGG